rnacentral:tRNA from 1 species
UGCCUGGUGGACUAGUGGCUAGCAUUCGGUGCUCUCACCACCGUGGGCCGAGUUCGAUUCAUGCUUAGUAA